UACCAGCACCCCGAGUGGUCGGGACGUUUAUUGGGCCUAAAGCAUCCGUAGCCGGUUCUACAAGUCUUCCGUUAAAUCCACCUGCUUAACAGAUGGGCUGCGGAAGAUACUAUAGAGCUAGGAGGCGGGAGAGGCAAGCGGUACUCGAUGGGUAGGGGUAAAAUCCGUUGAUCCAUUGAAGACCACCAGUGGCGAAGGCGGCUUGCCAGAACGCGCUCGACGGUGAGGGGAUGAAAAGCUGGGGGGAGCAAACCG
rnacentral:rRNA from 1 species